rnacentral:lncRNA from 10 species
UUUGUAAAUAGCAACACCAGAAAGAAGGCAUGGAAAUCCCCAAAUGAUGGUGAAUGGUAGUCUCAGAGUCAGUGGCUGCAUUUGAUUUCUACAAAGCAUCCUGUCCAGACUGCAGUGGGAUGAAGCUCUUGGCUCAGGCUCCUCAGUUCUUCUCAAAGUAUAGUGCAUGAACUGACAUCAGAAUCACCAGGGGACUGUUUACAAAAGCAAAUUCUCCAGGACCAUCUCAAAACACCUGAAUCUUUGGGAUUGGGGCCAAGGAAUCUGUCGUGAUGAGCCCUUCAAGUAUUCUGAUGAAGGUACCAACUUGAGAACUACUGCUUCAGAUGUAAGCUCUGUUUAGGUCAAGAACAAUGUCUUAAUCAUCUGCAUCUCCCCUGCGCCUGAAACACAGGAAUCACUCAGAGAAAGUUCUUGAUUGACGAUAAUAAACACGAAGGCAAAAGGAUGACUCCUAAUUCUCACAGCAAAUUUCAUGUAUUUGAAGCAACACUUGUGAUACUGACUGUUAUAUUUUUAGAGGGCUAAAAUAUGCCCUGAGCUGCUUUUUAGUUGAAGCUUUCUGAAUAAAUAAAGCACAAUUGUUUGGAAGAGGUCACACAUUAAGGAAUCAAUGAUGCCCAUUCAUCCUCUUGUGGUAAAGCUCAGGUUUCCUGUUUUGCAAUUGUUUCAAUCUAGACUGGAAGCUCUCAGAGGCAGAGAUUUCACAUUUAUAUGCCCAGGAAUUCAUCUGGGCACCUGUGUUGUUUCAUUCCAUGACUAAUAGCUAAAAAUAAAUGAGUAAUAACGCAUUGUUAGGGUAAGGUUUGCUUCAUGCCCCGAAAUGUAUUCUGAAAACACUGAUCAUAAACUUCUUUUAACCAACUGAGUGUUCCAAAAGCAAAAAUCUAGUGAAAAUUACUCAAAAAAAAAAAUGACAUCGUUUUGGUUGGAGAGUUUCUUAUGACGGAUACACAACUAGCUAUGUACACUGUUAACACUGACUUGUGUAAAAGCAAUGCUGUUUUUCUUUAGAGUGAAUAAAAUUAUUGAAAAGAAGAAUUCAUAGCUUGGAAAGAAGAAUGAAGUUCAUCUAUUCUCAUCAUCUAUUCCCAUUAUACCAUGUCCUAAUUGUUAUUCAGCCUGUACUUGAAUACCCUGUAGAAAGAGAAAUCCCCUAUCUGCAAGGGGGUCAGUAUUCACUUCACUUCAUUUAUUCAUUCAUUCAGACAUUUUUAAAGACCUCUUAGAUAGUCAGGCUUCAUUUUAAACUCUGUCAUAAGAGUUAUUUGCUUAUGUAAGGGUAAAAUCUGAGUCUUUGUAGCUUACAUUAGUAAAUUUAAUGUUUAUUUCUCAGAAGCCUACAAGUCUAAUCUAUCUUCUAAUCUACGUGAUGGCUCUUCAAGUAUUUCGAAGAAAUGUCAUCUUCCUGGAUCAUUCUGUCUUUGUUCUAAACAUCUCCAGUUCCUGAACCCAUUGCUCAGAUGAGAUGGUUUUAAGUCUUCUCCUCCUCAUUCUAGUUUAUUUAUAACCUUCUGAAAACAGGAUCACAAAAGUAUUGUUUUAUAUGUUGUCUGACUAGUUGGAAGGAAAAUCUAGGUCCUCUUUUCGCCUUUAUCCAUUACAUUUCUUAAUACAAACUUAGUGAACAUUCAUAUUUUGAGUGGUAAAAUACAAAUGUUUGCUCCUGUUGAGCUAAUAAUUAAAUCUAAGUUCCUUAAAUCUUAUUCAAGUAGAGUGCUUCUAAACUACAUUCCUCCUACUCUGUAUUUAUGGAGUUGGUUUUAGGGACCUAGUCCCAUUAUACUUACAUGCAUUCAAUUCAUCUUAUUAUAUUUACUCCAUUUAAUUGUUUAAUUUUAAAAAUUAGUGAGAUUCUGUGCUAUAGAGAUGAAAGACACAAUUUUUGCUCUCCAGGACCUCACAGUCUAGUAAAAAAUGGAUAAGUUAACAAAGAAUUAUAAAUCAGGAUGCUAAGUGCUGUGAUUGGUAUAAGUAAAAAAGUACAUUGACAACAUAUAGAAAAAGCAGACAAACUUUUGCUGUUGUUUUUAUUAGGAUCUGUAAGGGAGGGAGAUAAAAAGGCAAGAGUAUAAAGAUUCUGAAGAAGAGAUAAUAUUUGGUACGUUCCUUGAAGGUGAGUAGAAAUUAACCAAAGAGCAGAUAAAGGCUGAGAACAAAUAAAGGACAUUCUACAGUGUGCUGUCCAGUAUGUUAGCCACUAGCUACAAAUGACUAUUCAGCAUUUGAAAUGCAGCCUGUCCAAGUUGAGAUGUGCUAUAAGUGUAAAAUACACACCAGGUUUUAAAGAUUUAGUAAGAAAAGCAUGUAAAAUAUCUCAUUAAUACCUUUUACGUUUGUUACAUGUUGAAAUAAUCAUAGUUUGGAUA